rnacentral:rRNA from 1 species
GACGAACGCUGGCGGCGUGCUUAACACAUGCAAGUCUACGAGAAAAAGGUAGCAAUAUCUUGAUUAAAGUGGCGCACGGGUGAGUAACACGUAAGUAAUCUACCCAUGGAUUUGGAAUAACCCCGCGAAAGUGGGGCUAAUACCGUAUAAUGCAGCGGCACCGCAUGGUGAUGUUGUUAAAGUUUAUAUGACGUCUAUGGAUGAGCUUGCGUCCGAUUAGCUAGUUGGUAGGGUAAAAGCCUACCAAGGCAACGAUCGGUAGCUGGUCUGAGAGGAUGAUCAGCCACACUGGAACUGAGACACGGUCCAGACUCCUACGGGAGGCUG